rnacentral:rRNA from 1 species
CCUACGGGGGGCAGCAGUGAGGAAUAUUGGUCAAUGGACGAGAGUCUGAACCAGCCAAGUAGCGUGAAGGAUGACUGCCCUAUGGGUUGUAAACUUCUUUUAUAUGGGAAUAAAAUGUUCCACGUGUGGGAUUUUGUAUGUACCAUAUGAAUAAGGAUCGGCUAACUCCGUGCCAGCAGCCGCGGUAAUACGGAGGAUCCGAGCGUUAUCCGGAUUUAUUGGGUUUAAAGGGAGCGUAGGUGGGUUGUUAAGUCAGUUGUGAAAGUUUGCGGCUCAACCGUAAAAUUGCAGUUGAAACUGGCAGUCUUGAGUACAGUAGAGGUGAGCGGAAUUCGUGGUGUAGCGGUGAAAUGCUUAGAUAUCACGAAGAACUCCGAUUGCGAAGGCAGUUCACUGGACUGCAACUGACACUGAGGCUCGAAAGUGUGGGUAUCAAACAGGAUUAGAUACCCGAGUAGUC